rnacentral:rRNA from 1 species
UACGUAGGGUGCAAGCGUUUAAUCGGAAUUACUGGGCGUAAAGCGUGCGCAGGCGGUUUUGUAAGUCUGACGUGAAAUCCCCGGGCUUAACCUGGGAAUUGCGUUGGAGACUGCGAGGCUAGAAUCUGGCAGAGGGGGGUAGAAUUCCACGUGUAGCAGUGAAAUGCGUAGAGAUGUGGAGGAACACCGAUGGCGAAGGCAGCCCCCUGGGUCAAGAUUGACGCUCAUGCACGAA